GCUCGAGUGGCGGAAUAGGUAGACGCAAGGGAUUUAAAAUCCCUCGCCAGCAAUGGUGUGCCGGUUCGAUUCCGGCCUCGAGCA
rnacentral:tRNA from 1 species